AUACUUGGUGAGAGUAAUGUGAAUGUGAGUUUUAUGAGUGUUGGGAGAACGGUGAAGGGAAAGCAGGCAAUUAUGGCAAUUGGAGUAGACGAAGAACCAGACAAGGAUACUCAGAAGAAGAUUGGAGAGGUGUCUGCGGUUGAAGAAUUUGUCUUCCUUAAACUAUAGUCAAUAUUGCUGGCUGAUGGAAUGGAAUGGAAUGGAAUGAAGGAAGGAACUUGUUAUGUAUUACUAGUAUUAAGAAAUAGAUAAAAGAGUGUAAUGAAAGUUUAGCAUUUGCUAUGUAUCUGCGGGGAUUUAGGUGUUGGUCAAAUUUCUUUCUCCUGUAAUCCUAAUCCUCCUUAAAAUUUUCU
rnacentral:lncRNA from 1 species